rnacentral:lncRNA from 1 species
AAUUACUCCUUUCAGAAUGAUAAUUAACUGACAUUUAAUGUAGUGAUUUUUGUUUCUCAUUUCAUUUUUUUUUAAAUAACACAGCCCUGAUAUUUUUUUCCUUUCACAGAAGUGGUAUAAAUAACACUUUUCUCAUUAAUCUCUGCCCCGGAUUUUAAAUGAUGGCACUUAACGAGGCUUGGAGACUGUGCUCAGUGUUUUUGUUUAAAGGUUGUCAAGUAUGGUUUCUUUUUCUUUCUUUCUUUCUUUAUUUUUUUUAACAAAUGCUCAGGUCAGCAGGCUACACCAUCUUCUUGGCAGUUUUCCUUUUAGCCUUGAGUUUUUCCUCUAGGUUUUAAUUUUUGUCAGUAUAUUUACUAAUUCUUUGAAAAUAUUAUACAGUGCAUUUUGGUCAUCUUCCCAAUCUCCUCCUCUUAACUCCUUUUUUUCCUUUUAUGACCUCAGGAUAAAGCAACACAAAAUGGUGAUCUUCAUUUAAUAACUAUACCUAAAACUUGGGAGUAGCAAAUAUUAAAGCAAGAAUCUGCCUUCAAAGCAACUUCCUAUGAUUUUUGUCUUAUUUAAAAGUUAAAGUGACUUGAAAGACUGUAUGCUUCGUUAUUUACCCAUGGAUGUUGCCAAAUGAGAUCUAAGGAAGUCAGGCUGGAUGGAAGACAUGAGGCUUUACAUUCCUGGAGAUUUGGAUUUUGUUAUUUGGAGCAUCUUCAUCCACUAGACAGAAAGGUAUGCUCAGUUGCUUUGGCAUUCAGAGUCACUGGAAGAAUUUUACAACUUCAUGCAAAGAGUCUAGUUAUUAAUAGCCACUCAGGCAAUCAUAAUUAUUGAUUCCAAAAAAAACCCCCAAUCUUCAUUAAAAGCAUAUUAACUAUUCUGGUGAAGUGUUAAUAUGACCCACAUCAUUUCAUACUCUACAAAGGCUGGAGACAUUUUGCAUUCAUUAUGCUGAUUAUGAAAAACUCAAAAAUAUUCUGUAGUAAGUAUGAGAAGAAAACCAUUUUUUAAAAAAAUCUACCAAAAAAUAAAAUAAAAUAAAAAAGUAAAAUAAAAAGGCCC